UUUUUCCAUCUUAGAUCUAUCAGUAUCUAAAACCCUUUUAUUGUUUUGGCUUCUCUUCGGAAAGGUAAAAAGAGGAAGAGAAGAGGCUUUUUUUUUUGUUAGCGUCUUUCUUUCUUUUUCUCUCUCCGGUCUGGUUUCCGUUGCGGUUGCGAAGAGCACUGAAGGGAGGCUGAUUAGUGGAUUUAUGUCGGCUGAGUUUGAUUUGGCUUUGAUUGGGGCUCAGUUGCAGCUCUGUUUCACUUCUUCAACAAAAAUUGUCUCUGCUCGCUUCUUCUGUACUGUUUUGUUGACUGUUUCUUGCAUGAUUCUCUGCUUCUUUAGGCAGAGACUGAAUCCCGUGUUCCCGGCUGUCUCGAUGCGUUUGAGACCAAAAAAGACUUGUUCCGGUGUUGAGUGUUUUGGAGAUUUCGAAAUAAAACAACGAUUUUUAUAUCUUUUCUUGUUUCUUAGAGGGGCUGAUACUUGAUAUCUCUUUGAUUUUCUAACAGAAAUUUUGUUCACCAUUAUUUAUUGGUUUCAUACUUG